rnacentral:lncRNA from 1 species
GUUAUUUCAUAGUUUUGAUGUCUUCACUAUUAUUCUACAAUGUAGAAAAUAGUAAAAAUAAAGAAACUCUUGAAUGAGUAGGUGUCAACUUUGAUUGAUACUGUAUAUAUAUAUAUAGAACACUGCUUGCCAUUGAUCAGCAUCAUACAUAUGGACAAGUGUUUUUCUGACCAUCUGUCUGACAAGGAAAAACCAUGGGCUGGGGUGUAUUCAUUAUGCCGAUUCUGUUGCAAAAAGGAACAAAACGGGGAGGGACCAAGCUGAAUUUGUCCAAUACAAACUCUGGUUUUAACUGUUUGGACUAAUGAUUACACCCCUGAUAUUGUAGCCCAUAACUAGGGCCCCAAGUUUUUCCUGGCCAGGUCAUGUAGUCAGGAAAAACUGGGCCAAAUCACAGAAUAUAAGCUGACAGGUAGACUAAUUCAAGAGUUAGUUUUUAAUUCUGUCACUAGUUGUUCCUCCCACAACCACACUUCAGUUGCAUUUCCUGUGGUUUAAUGUCCUCUGUCUGAUUUUGGAUACAAUACCAUUUUGUAUGACGGACUGUUUAUAUACAGUGAGCAGAGAGAGAGAGAUUGUUGUAUGUGAUUCACAGCAUAUCCUGGGUCUUGUUCAUUAGGGCAUGCAAUGGAAAGCGUUUUAAAAUGAUUUCUGACAGAAACCAAAAAUGUGUGUUUCUUAUUGGACAAGUCCAAGUAGUCCCUCCAUUUUCUUCAGUUUGGUGCAUAAUGAACACCACCCUGCAUUGUGUGCCUCCACAAGCCUCGGGGGGGGGGAUCCAAUAGACUCUGGGUCUUUACAGUCAGGGAACAGUUCAUACAUGUCUUAUGUUGUGUUGGGAGUAGGGUGUAGUCACUGCCCCUAGUCACUGAUCAGUUUUACAUUUGGCCCAGUAUUGGUUACGGUUAGAUCUGUACUUAGGGGAAACAUCACCACGAAGCAAUAUGUUGCAGGGCUAGGAGUUUUACCUGGAAAAUGGGAUCUGACCAGGAAGAUACUCAAGGCCCCUGAGUUUUUCCCAGCCAGGUUACAUGGUCUAUGGCCCUCAAACUCAACUCUGGACCUCGAAGCAAGUUCCACUGCUUUUUUUCCAUUGUUCCCUUCAUAUCAGGGACUGAUUUAGACCUGGGACACCAGGUGUGUGCAAUUAAUUGUCAGGUAGAACAGAAAACCAGCAGGCUGUUGACAUCGUAGGGUAACAGUUGAAUACCCUGGUCUAUGGGAUCUGACCAGGAAGAUACCUAAAGCCCCCCCC